UAUUGCACAAUGGGCGCAAGCCUGAUGCAGCCAUGCCGCGUGUGUGAAGAAGGCCUUCGGGUUGUAAAGCACUUUCAGUCAGGAGGAAAGGUUAGUAGUUAAUACCUGCUAGCUGUGACGUUACUGACAGAAGAAGCACCGGCUAACUCCGUGCCAGCAGCCGCGGUAAUACGGAGGGUGCGAGCGUUAAUCGGAAUUACUGGGCGUAAAGCGUACGCAGGCGGUUUGUUAAGCGAGAUGUGAAAGCCCCGGGCUCAACCUGGGAACUGCAUUUCGAACUGGCAAACUAGAGUGUGAUAGAGGGUGGUAGAAUUUCAGGUGUAGCGGUGAAAUGCGUAGAGAUUUGAAGGAAUACCGAUGGCGAAGGCAGCCACCUGGGUCAACACUGACGCUCAUGACGAAA
rnacentral:rRNA from 1 species